ensembl:lncRNA
CUUCCAAUUUCUUUAUAAAAAUAAUUGUUGUUUAAGAAAAACAGUGAAUUGAAAAUAUUGCACAAGAAGGAGAAGAUCCAAUUCCAAGAAGUUUCCACAGAAAGUUGGGAGCUUCCCAGGCAAAUUGAUGAGCCACAGCACAAAGAUAAUAAAACACCCUCUACCUUUAGAAGAACGUUGAGUGUGUUGCAUAAGGAAGUGACUCAUGCUCAAAUUCCCACCAAUAAAGGAUCAUUAAUUAAAUAUAUUUGUUAAAGAAUACAUACAACAAUAAUAAAAACAGGAAUCUUGUUUGAGCAUUUGGGCCUUACAAGGACCUAGGAAUGCCACACAUCUGGGCUAAUAAAGACAGAAAUAGAGUUUGGGAAGUGAUCUGGCUCUAGAGUUUCCAGCCCAGCAGUAGGUCUGUUGCUCUCUCCUUUUAUGUUUUGCUACUAUGUUGACUUUGGUAUUUCUUGCUUCUGCUUCUAUCGCUCCUGCCUCUGACAAACGCUUUCCCUCGAUUCUCACCUUCUUUGCCUCCUUGCUCCCAAACAGUCUCUGCUUCCUCUCAAUUGUGGCUUAUUAAUUACUCUUAGUUCCUCAUGUCUUCUGCUUAUUGCCUCUUUCUCCCUGUGUGUUCCCUGGCUUCUGCUCCCUGCCAGCAGCCACUAACUCUUUAUGUCUUCAAUUUAGAUUCUCAGAAUCCAAUAGGGUCAAGGGCACAGGAAGAAAGUUGAGAUUUGAAUUGAAUGAAGGGAAACCUCAUCCUUUAAGACUGAAGGGAAAAAGGAUAUUGAUGAAGUGGUUUUGUGGAAGGUCUAGAAUGUAGGCCUCAAGAAGCUUCUGCCUCUCCCUUCUUAGAACACUGCCUUGGGACUGCCAUAGCAUGAAAAAGCCCAAGAGGAAAGACCAUGGAAAGAGAGGCCAAGCCAUCCCAGCUCUCUCUCCUCACUCUCUACCCAUUGCCAGGCAAAUGCAGCCGCAAGAGUGAGCCCAGUGGAUACCAGCAGGACUGCCCAAUCAGCCCAUAGACUGAUAAAAAAUAAUACAUAUUUGUAAAAUAUGAUGUAUUUUUUUAAAAAUAAAUAAACCUGGAAUAUUUGAGGCCCAGUUGGUAAUCCAGAGCAAGCAAGAAAUGAGGUCGGAGAGGACAAAGGGUGUGGAAGGUGAUGAUCAUGCUUAAAGUUUAUCGUAAGGACUUGGACUUGGACUCUGUGAUGCAAAGCUGCUAACGGAUCCAUGCAGAGGAGUGACAUGAUCUGACUCGAGUCCUAAAAGGAUCACUUUAUGAAUAGCUUUGAUACAACAUUAUACAUAGAUAUGACAGGACAUUGUUCUAUUAGUUCAUUAAGACUAAUUGGCAUGUGACUACAAAAAGAAUGGAUUUGGCAGUUACAUUAAUUGACAAAUUGGAUAUUCUGAGUCUCAAUGUAUAAAUUUUGGCUUCACUUUUUGUGGAUUAGACUUACACUUUCAAUAACUUAAUUUUGCUGCUCCACACCCCUAAAUUAUUUUUCGUAGUUACUACCUGAGUUCAUGGUUCCCCAAAUUCUCCAAAAUAGAAUCUAGAUCAAGUAAGAAGCUAUA